UCUACUUCUCUCCCUCCGUCUCCUUCCUUGGUGGCUGCCCUCACGUCAAGGGCUCCGCCGCCAUUCUGAACAUCCCCCCACCUGGCGAACUCCCUCCCACGCCCGGCCUCCUUGACGGAGCACGACGUCCAGGCGGCGACGACGAAGGCAGCAGCGGUGAAGGAGGCGCACAUGGAGCCAUCCUUCUCGUCCUUGGUGUCGGCAAUGGACCUUUUAUCCUUUCUGCGGUCAUUACUUUCUCUUGACCGCAGAAAUUAAUUUUAUGGUAUGACGUAAUUGCAGAUUUUGGCUCCACUUCCCAUCGGAUUUGUUGUGUUCUUGGUCCACUUGGCCACCAUUCUCAUCACAGGAACUGGAAUUAACCCUGUUAGGAGUCUUGGAGCAGCCAAUAUCAAUGGAUUUUCUGGGUUGGACCUAUCAUUGGAGCUGCUCUUGCUGCUUUAUAUCACCAGAUAGUUAUCCGAGCCAUUCCUUUCAAGGCAAGAGCUUAGGCUCUUCAUUCUUCCUUGUGCUUGCUUCAUUUAAUUGUUGUUUAUGUGUCUGCUGUCUGCUUAAUUUCCAAUUUCUUCAUGUGAAUCUUUUUGUGUUAAUUAAUCCUUUAUGGAUGUAAAUUAUGACAUGGUAUUUCUCACACUCUAAAAGCCACCUCUUUUAUCUAUUCUUUUAUUUUAAUGGAUUGCUCCUUUUAUUAUCA